rnacentral:rRNA from 1 species
AGAGUUCGAUCCUGGCUCAGGAUAAACGCUGGCGGCGUGCUUAACACAUGCAAGUCGAACGAAGUUUUUCUUUCGGGAGGAACUUAGUGGCGGACGGGUGAGUAACGCGUGGGUAACCUGCCCUGUACAGGGGGACAACAGCUGGAAACGGCUGCUAAUACCGCAUAAGCCCUUAGCACUGCAUGGUGCAUAGGGAAAAGGAGUAAUCCGGUACAGGAUGGACCCGCGUCUGAUUAGCCAGUUGGCAGGGUAACGGCCUACCAAAGCGACGAUCAGUAGCCGAUCUGAGAGGAUGUACGGCCACAUUGGGACUGAGACACGGCCCAGACUCCUACGGGAGGCAGCAGUGGGGAAUAUUGCACAAUGGAGGAAACUCUGAUGCAGCGACGCCGCGUGAGUGAAGAAGUAUUUCGGUAUGUAAAGCUCUAUCAGCAGGGAAGAAAAUGACGGUACCUGACUAAGAAGCACCGGCUAAAUACGUGCCAGCAGCCGCGGUAAUACGUAUGGUGCAAGCGUUAUCCGGAUUUACUGGGUGUAAAGGGAGCGUAGGUGGCAAGGCAAGCCAGAAGUGAAAACCCGGGGCUCAACCGCGGGAUUGCUUUUGGAACUGUCAUGCUAGAGUGCAGGAGGGGUGAGCGGAAUUCCUAGUGUAGCGGUGAAAUGCGUAGAUAUUAGGAGGAACACCGGAGGCGAAGGCGGCUCACUGGACUGUAACUGACACUGAGGCUCGAAAGCGUGGGGAGCAAACAGGAUUAGAUACCCUGGUAGUCCACGCGGUAAACGAUGAAUACUAGGUGUUGGGUGUCACAGACAUUCGGUGCCGCAGCAAAC